rnacentral:rRNA from 1 species
GACGAACGCUGGCGGCGUGCUUAACACAUGCAAGUCGAACGGUAAGGCCCUUCGGGGUACACGAGUGGCGAACGGGUGAGUAACACGUGGGUGAUCUGCCCUGCACUUCGGGAUAAGCCUGGGAAACUGGGUCUAAUACCGGAUAGGACCACUGCCUGCAUGGGUGGUGGUGGAAAGCUUUUGCGGUGUGAGAUGGGCCCGCGGCCUAUCAGCUUGUUGGUGGGGUGAUGGCCUACCAAGGCGACGACGGGUAGCCGGCCUGAGAGGGUGACCGGCCACACUGGGACUGAGAUACGGCCCAGACUCCUACGGGAGGCAGCAGUGGGGAAUAUUGCACAUGGGCGCAAGCCUGAUGCAGCGACGCCGCGUGAGGGAUGACGGCCUUCGGGUUGUAAACCUCUUUCAGCACCGACGAAGCGCAAGUGACGGUAGGUGCAGAAGAAGGACCGGCCAACUACGUGCCAGCAGCCGCCGUAA